rnacentral:rRNA from 1 species
GACGUAGGGCGCGAGCGUUGUCCGGAUUUAUUGGGCGUAAAGAGCUCGUAGGCGGCUUGUCGCGUCGUCCGUGAAAACCUGCAGCUCAACUGCAGGCUUGCGGUCGAUACGGGCAGGCUAGAGUUCGGUAGGGGAGACUGGAAUUCCUGGUGUAGCGGUGAAAUGCGCAGAUAUCAGGAGGAACACCGGUGGCGAAGGCGGGUCUCUGGGCCGAUACUGACGCUGAGAAGCGAAAGCGUGGGGAGCGAACAGG